rnacentral:rRNA from 1 species
GAUGAACGCUGGCGGCGUGCCUAAUACAUGCAAGUCGAGCGAACGGACGAGAAGCUUGCUUCUCUGAUGUUAGCGGCGGACGGGUGAGUAACACGUGGAUAACCUACCUAUAAGACUGGGAUAACUUCGGGAAACCGGAGCUAAUACCGGAUGAUAUUUUGAACCGCAUGGUUCAACAGUGAAAGACGGUCUUGCUGUCACUUAUAGAUGGAUCCGCGCUGCAUUAGCUAGUUGGUAAGGUAACGGCUUACCAAGGCAACGAUGCAUAGCCGACCUGAGAGGGUGAUCGGCCACACUGGAACUGAGACACGGUCCAGACUCCUACGGGAGGCAGCAGUAGGGAAUCUUCCGAAAUGGGCGAAAGCCUGACGGAGCAACGCCGCGUGAGGGAUGAAGGUCUUCGGAUCGUAAAACUCUGUUAUUAGGGAAGAACAUAUGUGUAAGUAACUGUGCACAUCUUGACGGUACCUAAUCAGAAAGCCACGGCUAACUACGUG